rnacentral:rRNA from 1 species
UGGGGAAUAUUGGACAAUGGGCGAAAGCCUGAUCCAGCCAUGCCGCGUGGGUGAAGAAGGCCUUCGGGUUGUAAAGCCCUUUUGUUGGGGAAGAAAUCCUGCUGGCUAAUACCCGGCGGGGAUGACGGUACCCAAAGAAUAAGCACCGGCUAACUUCGUGCCAGCAGCCGCGGUAAUACGAAGGGUGCAAGCGUUACUCGGAAUUACUGGGCGUAAAGCGUGCGUAGGUGGUGGCUUAAGUCCGUUGUGAAAGCCCUGGGCUCAACCUGGGAAUUGCAGUGGAUACUGGGUCACUAGAGUGUGGUAGAGGGUGGCGGAAUUCCCGGUGUAGCAGUGAAAUGCGUAGAGAUCGGGAGGAACACCCGUGGCGAAGGCGGCCACCUGGGCCAACACUGACACUGAGGCACGAAAGCGUGGGGAGCAAACAG